rnacentral:tRNA from 1 species
AGUAUUAUAAGUUAAAUAAACUAUUGGUUUGAUACACCAAAAAUAGAUUAUAUCUUUUUACUA